rnacentral:rRNA from 1 species
GCCUACGGGGGGCAGCAGUAGGGAAUUUUCGUCAAUGGGCGCAAGCCUGAACGAGCAAUGCCGCGUGAACGAGGAAGGUCUUCGGAUCGUAAAGUUCUGUUGAAGGGGAAAAAGAGCGGAGAGAGGAAAUGAACUCCGAUUGAUAUUACCCUUCGAGGAAGUCACGGCUAACUACGUGCCAGCAGCCGCGGUAAUACGUAGGUGGCAAGCGUUAUCCGGAUUUAUUGGGCGUAAAGGGAACGCAGGCGGUCUUUUAAGUCUGAUGUGAAAGCCUUCGGCUUAACCGGUGUAGUGCAUUGGAAACU